AUUGAACGCUGGCGGCAGGCCUAACACAUGCAAGUCGAGCGAGCGGCGGACGGGUGAGUAAUGUCUGGGAAACUGCCUGAUGGAGGGGGAUAACUACUGGAAACGGUAGCUAAUACCGCAUACCAUCCGAUGUUCCCAGAUGGGAUUAGCUUGUAGGUGAGGUAACGGCUCACCUAGGCGACGAUCCCUAGCUGGUCUGAGAGGAUGACCAGCCACACUGGAACUGAGACACGGUCCAGACUCCUACGGGAGGCAGCAGUGGGGAAUAUUGCGCAAUGGGCGAAAGCCUGAUACAGCAAUGCCGCGUGUAUGAAGAAGGCCUUCGGGUUGUAAAGUACUUUCAGCGGGGAGGCGUUACCCGCAGAAGAAGCACCGGCUAACUCCGUGCCAGCAGCCGCGGUAAUAC
rnacentral:rRNA from 1 species